rnacentral:lncRNA from 1 species
GCGUCUCCCAUCCACUGUCUAAUUUAUCUUUGACGUGAUGCCAUAGUGUCUUUCAACUAUGGUCUUACUCAUUUUCUGUCAUGUUGCCAUGGUAUCUUUCAACCAUGGUCUUAUUCUUUUCAUGUCACCUUGCCAUGGUAUCUUUCAACCAUGGUCUUACACAUCUCAUAUCAGGUUGCCAUGGUAUCUUUCAACCAUGGUCUUACGCAUUUCAUAUCAGGUUGCCAUGGUAUCUUUCAACCAUGGUCUUACACAUUUCAUAUCAG